GUGGGAUCUGUUCUGCUCUGAGCGCUGUCCUAUAAGGCAUUGCUUGUUUAAGUACAGUCGCAUUUAGUUGGAGCUGCAGGAGAGAGACAGAGAGAUUCUCUGUGUUUACAGCCAGCCCAGGCUACGGUGGAGCAUCCAACCUGGCCCCCCCUUUCUCCAGCACUUGAAGGGGAGAGUGAGAGGUUAUUUGGGAAUCUGGCCACCGUGGGUCAGCUUGUGCUGCGACUGGAUUGUCAGAGCUGGCAAAGCAGAGCCCAGAGGGACUGAAGGGAGACACGAAACCCAUUUUCUUUGAGAGGAGAGAAGAAGGAGGAAAAAAAAAAAGAUAAAUUGAGAGAGAGAGAGAGACAGAAGCGAAGAGACGGAGAAAAAGGCAGCGGAAGCGGAGCAAGUGAGAGAGAAGCAUGAGGACCUACUGGCUGCACAGUAUCUGGGUGCUGGGAUUCUUCCUGUCCCUCUUCUCCUUGCAAGGCCUUAAGAGGAAAAUUGCAGCCCACCACAGGAAGAAGCAUGGAUGUCAUCCUGCUGAGGCAGCUUUUGCCCCUCUGCUUGGAGGUGGGGUAGUCACUCAGAGGCCACAUUUUUGUGCUUGUGCUGAACACUUUUGCCUCAUCUGGGUUUCCUUGUUUCUUCAGCAGUAUAAUGCAGGUGUGGUGCACCUCUUUGGUCGGACUGCUACACGCACACACAGACCCAAGGGCUGCCUAGCUCAGAGGCCCCAGCACUGGGGAACUGUAUAAAUAUGAGUAAAAGCAGUUUGCCUGGUUGUCAUGACCUGGGGUAGUAGAGUUUAUCAGUGUUGUGUAAACCCCAUGGAGGUGUGGUGAUCUACGUAUUCUUUAACAACAGGGUCCUUGUGUAUGCAGGCACAUGAAAUAACUGGGAAGACCCAUGAAUUGUUAGUGACCCUACAGGCCCUGGAGAACAUGGAUUCUGUGCAAGAGCAGCACAUAACCCUGAACUGGGGAGUGCUUUCCUUUAUGGCUCUGGUACAUUUUUUGUUCACAUCUAGCCUUGAAAAAAAAUUCUUGACUCCUCUUGAAGUGAGAGUGUGUGAGGUUGGGAGAUGGCUCUGAAGCACAAAGGAGGGAGGCCGGAGGAGGACCAAAUAAGGAGAGUUCUUCAUGUGGCUUAGAUGCAUGGGGAACCCGUCAGCAGUGUCACUGCAUCAGAGCUGAGUUUUAAAUUUGUCUGAAGUGUUUCAGCUCUGACUACUAUCACUUUUACCUUUAAAAACACAGUGCUUGUUGAGAGCAGUUGUUUUCCCAAGAUAUUACUGCAACUCAGUUUCUAACCCACCUUUUGUUCAAAAUACCUCAGCACUUCUUUCUUUCUUAUGUGGA
rnacentral:lncRNA from 1 species